rnacentral:rRNA from 1 species
UACGAAGGGGGCUAGCGUUGCUCGGAAUUACUGGGCGUAAAGCGCACGUAGGCGGAUUGUUAAGUCGGGGGUGAAAUCCUGGAGCUCAACUCCAGAACUGCCUUCGAUACUGGCGAUCUCGAGUUCGGGAGAGGUGAGUGGAACUGCGAGUGUAGAGGUGAAAUUCGUAGAUAUCGAGAGGAACACCUGCGGCGAAGGCGGGUUGCUGGGCUGACACUGACGCUGAUGCGCGAAAGCCAGGGGAGCGAACGGG